GUCCACGCCCUAAACGAUGAUGACUAGUUGUUGGAGGAGUUAAAUCCUUUAGUAACGCAGCUAACGCGAGAAGUCAUCCGCCUGGGGAGUACGGUCGCAAGAUUAAAACUCAAAGGAAUUGACGGGGGCCCGCACAAGCGGUGGAUGAUGUGGUUUAAUUCGAUGCAACGCGAAAACCUUACCUACCCUUGACAUGUCAGGAAUCCUCCAGAGAAGGAGGAGUGCCCGAAAGGGAGCCUGAACACAGGUGCUGCAUGGCUGUCGU
rnacentral:rRNA from 1 species